GGGGAGCGGCAGACGGGAGAGUAACACGUGGGAACGUACCCUUCGGUUCGGAACAACCCAGGGAAACUUGGGCUAAUACCGGAUACGUCCGUAAGGAGAAAGAUUCAUCGCCGAAGGAUCGGCCCGCGUCUGAUUAGCUAGUUGGUGAGGUAACGGCUCACCAAGGCGACGAUCAGUAGCUGGUCUGAGAGGAUGAUCAGCCUCACUGGGACUGAGACACGGCCCAG
rnacentral:rRNA from 1 species